GGAGCUGUGGUAGCUCACCCACACUGCAAUCCAUCUGCUGACUCAACUUGCUGGUAUCGGGCAGCAGCCAGGACCACAGCUCCUCCAGCUCCUUUGUGACCUUUUCCUUCAGCUUCUUCAAAUACUGGGUUAGACACCUGCCUGGAAUAUAGUGAGUGUUAGGAUAAAGUAAACAUAGACCAGAGGAAGAAGUCAAAUACACAUUUGCCUCAGGAGAAGAGGCAAUGAACCCCUUUGUGGAGGGAAAGGUUCAAUAUAGUUAAGAGCAUGAGAUGGGCUUCACAAUGGAAGAUCAGGCUUCCGGUCCAUUCCUCGCCUCUUACAACCUGCACAACUUUAGCCAAGUUUCUUAGUCUUAUACCUUUUCUGUCAAAUGGCAGCAAUGGUAUCUGCCUUAUGAAUUUGUUGUAUUAAAUUUGUUGAUAAUACCUGGAGAGAGCUUAGCACAUUAUCUAGAUCAUAAUAAGUACUCAAGGAUAUUAGCUAUUUUUAUUAUUCUGCUAAUGUAGUGGUGAUGUGGUAAAUAGUAAAAUAUUCAGGAAUUUUAAAAAGCUUUAAAAGUAUCUUAAAAAAUUAGUUCUUAAUGGCUUUAUAUAUGUUCAUAAUUAAGUGAAUUAACUUUUAUAUCCUUUGCCAAAAUAAUACUUUUGGAAUAUAGGUAUUCAACUAUCCAGCAUUAAUUUACUUACAAGACGUUUCAAGCUUCAUUUAUUAUUAAAUCAUUAUUUAAUACAACAUAAAUAACGAAUCAAUUAGCUAAGCUUUUUAUUCAGUUAUAGGACAUAUGCUAUAAAAAGGUGUCUAUUAACAUUUUCUAAGGGAGUCCAUUUCAUUCACUUACAAAUUAUAUUAUUAUUAUUUUACAAAUUAUAUUAUGAUUAUUAUUCACUAAGCAGGAUAGCUUGUAUUAAUAUGAUUAGCUUGAAGUUGGACUAAAAUCUUAGAAUAGCACCAUUAUUAAUGUUGUUUUUAGUAUAAAAUUAAUGAACAUGUAUCAAGUAACUGGCAUAAUCCCAGAGAAAAAUCAGAAACAAGAAAAAAGUUAUUGUUACUAAUUAGCAAAAUAUAUUUAAAUAUGCUCUUUUGUGUAUUCUUUAGUCAUGACUUGCAAACAUAUGUGAAGAAUUUACUCUGAUAAAAGAACAACUCAGUGUCUGGAUAACUUGUACCAUUCCUACAAUAGGGAUCAAAACUAUUAGAAGGGGAAGACUAAUGUAGUAACUAGUUACUGACAAGCAAAGUGUGGCUAGUUGCAAGCAUUACCCCAAAACAUUUAACUUUCAAGUUUGCCUGUCAAAAAUCAACCCAUUUAAUAUACAACUAAUCCUUGACAAUUGGUUUGGCCGUUCUGGAGUAAUACCAACUAUUUUCUAGUGUUUUAAUAGAGUUUUUUUAUUAUUGUUUUAGGUAAAUGUAUGACUGUCAGGAAGAUUAAAAUUGGUUGAAUAAAUGGCCCACUAGUUUGCAAAGCAGAAACUUCUUACUCUCCUGACUGAAGUAUAUACAGUGUCAUUAUGACAACUAGACCUUGCAUUGAGUGCUGAUCAACAUAGAAGCAUUUUGAGGAACAUCAAAUCGGCUUUGUUACAUUUAAAAAAUAAAACCUGCAGGCCCAGGAUAAAUAGAAACCAAAAGAAAUAAAACAAAACAAAGAAACAAAAUCAGAUUCUGGCAUAUAGUAAUAUUUUGAAACUAUUUUUGAGUCCCUCAUACAAAUAACUUUUUUUCUAAGUAAAACUAUUCAUUUUUAAAACUUAUAUUACUUGUAUUGUGUUCAAGUAACAUUGGAAAUCAAAUUUCACAAAUGAAGAAAAAAAAAUCUCUCUUUUCUUACUUCUGGCCUCUAGAAAUGAAAACUAUUACUGCUCUGAGGAGUUCACUCUUUACUCACCGUUCUCAGCAUAUACUUUUGAUUUUUCUGUCUGCUCCAUUUGUGAUUUCAGUUAAGCAAGAGUCCUCAGGGUAACCCAAUUUUCAUCAAUAACAGUAUUCAUUUUGUGGCCUUUAUAUAAAAUACAGCAGUUGAGGUUGUAAAACAUGGAAGCAAUUUAAAUGUUUGUGUUGCUAUGUUUUGCCUCAUAAAGCACAUAAUCUGAAAACCAAAAAUGUUGACAGAACCAGGUAUGGGCAUUUAUGGACUGAUGAGAAGCUAACCCAGAGUGAUUUCAUGAGUGAAAAGCAAAAAGUAUCAUUAGGAAACCAUUUUCUCACAGUUAAAGGGACACUUCCUAUCAAAUAUCUGUAGUUUAGCAGCAGCCACUGACCAGGCUAGUUGACACUCCAAUGACUCACCCGGGAACGUCUUCUUAGCUUUUCUUUUUACCUUUGUCUUUAUUCAACUUCAAAUCAAAACGCAGCUGGAAUAAAUUUUUUUUUAUGGGAAAGGUGUCUUCCCUUGUCGGUGUUUCUUUCUUAGUAACAGAAGCUGUUUCUAACAGAAAUAAUAGCCAAUAAACAUGACAAAAUAAAACACCAAAAAAUAUCUGCUCAAGAAUAAAUGAUUACUGAAAACAACUUACUAAAACAUAAAGUCUAAUUAUUUUUAUAUGAACACUUUUGGAAAAUUGUUAGAAUUUAUUAUAUUGAAUAAUAAAUGGAAGAAUGUGCAUUAUUGUGCAUGAAUGGCAUCAUCUCUUGACAGAAUUCAGUGAUUGCAUGUAUCUGUACCUAAUAGAGCUUGUUAGACUCACCAUUUUAUAAGCAUCUCACCAUUAAUCAUCAGUAUGAUUAUGUAUAUUUUGCAUAUAUUUGAAAACUUGUAAACUCAGCACUAUAAGUUCAAACUAGUCUUAUACGGAGGCAAACUAAUUCCAAGUGAUGUAAGUAAGGAAUCUGGCUAGAGGUCCUCAGUUAUCACAGUAAAGAUAUCAGGAAUAGGAUAAAUUUCAUGAUAUAUGAAUUUCUCCAUUAAAGAGCUCUUCUUUGGGGUUAAAUUAUGUAUUAUUCUGUUCUCACACUGCUGAUAAAGACACAUUCAAGACUGGGUAAUUUAGAAAGAGGUUUAAUUGACUCACAGUUUCACAUAGCUGGGAAGACCACGCAAUCAUGGUGGAAGGUGAAAGAGGAGCAAAGUUGCAUCUAACAUGGAGGCAGGCAAGAGAGUUUGUGUAGGGGAACUUCCCUUCAUAAAACUAUCAGAUCUCUUGAGCCUGUUUCACUCUCAUGAGAACAGCAUGGGAAAGACCCAGCUCCAUGAUUCAAUUAACUCUCACAGCGUCCCUCCCACAGAACAUGGGAAUUAUGGAAGCUAUAAUUAAAGAUGAGAUUUGGGUGGGGACACAGUCAAACCAUUUCAUUCUGCCCCUAGCCCCUGCCAAAUCUCAUGUCUUCACAUUGUUCAAAGCCAAUCAUGCCUUCCCAAAAGUGCCCCAAGUCUUAACCCAUUUCAGCAUUAACUCAAAAUUUUGUAGUCCAAAGACUUACCUGAGACAAGGCAAGUCCCUUCUGUCUAUGAGUGUGUAAAAUCAAAAGCAAGUUAGUUACUUCCUAGAUACAAUGGAGUACAGGUAUUACGUAAAUACACUCAUUUCCAAAUGAGAGAAAUUGGCACAAAUAAAAGGGCUAUGGGGCCCAUGCAAGUCUAAAAUCCAAUAGGGCAGUCAUUAAGCCUUAAAGUUCCAAAAUGAUCUCCUUUGACUCCAUGUCUCACAUCCAGGUCAUGCUGAUGCAAGAGGUGGGCUCCCAUGGCCUUGGGCAGCUCCAAACCCUGUGGCUUUGCAGGGUAUAGCCCCCUCCUGGAUGCUUUCAUGGGCUGGCAUUGAGUGUCUGGAGCUUUUCCAGGUGCAUGGUGCAAGCUGUUGAUGGAGCUAACAUUCUGGGGUCUGGAGAACAGUGGCCCUCUUCUCACAGCCCUCUUCUCACUCUUUGUGGGGGCUCCAACCCCACAUUUCCCUCCUGCACUGCCCUAGCAGAGGUUCUCCAUGAGGGCCCUGCCCCUGUAGCACUCUUCUGCCUGAACAUCCAGGUGUUUCCAUAUAUCAUCUGAAAUCUAGGUGAAGGUUCCCAAAUCUAAAUUCUUGACUUCUGUGCACCUACAUGCUCAACAUCACAUGGAAGCUGCCAAGGCUUUGGGCUUGCACUCUCUGAAGCCAUGGCCUGAGUUGUACCUUGGCCCUUUUAGCCAUGGCUGGAACAGCUGGUAAACAGGACACCAAGAUCCUUAGCUGCUCAUAGCAGGGGGACCCUGGUCCUGGCCCACAAAACCAUUUUUUUCUCCUAGGCCUCUGGGCCUGUGAUGGGAGGGGCUGCCAUAAAGGUCUCUGACAUAUCCUGAAGACAUUUUCCCCACUAUCUUGCUGAUUAACAAAUAAUAAGAGGAAAGCAAGCUUCUUCUUAAACUUAUUUGCUCAAAUUUGUUCCUCUCUUCUAUGAUAUUUAAAAACAAUAAAUGUAUUUGCUCUUUCUCACACAAAUCUGGUAACUCCUCAUCUCUCUUUUACUUUAAAAUUAGCUUUUAAACACUUUUCUCCUUCUGUCUUUAGCUUUGAAAGUACUUCAUUCUCACUUCUACCUUAUUACUGAUUUUGGUAAAUUUAAAUUCCAUCUUCUCUGUUGAGUUAGGAAAUCUUCCAUUUUCCUUCAUCUCCCCUAAUUGAAAUCAAAGCCAGUAUCCUCUUCACAGUUAUACCUUGCUUCUCCUUUGUGACCUCAAGUUCCUUAACUUUCUAAGAUAUCUCAUUAAAAACAAAUAUGGAAGUGCCCACUUUCCUUCCUUCUACUUCAUCUGGUCAUUAAAGUUGUUUUGAAUAGCAAAUGUGUUUGACAAAGGUAGAUUUUCAUUGAGAGGGACUUGUAAAAAAAAAAUAAGAAAAAAAUUUAAAAGAUAGAUUUCAAAUUUUCUUCCUCUCUCCCAUACCACCCAAAUACCUACACACAUAAGGUAGGUAAUUACAUGACAAAACAAAACCCAGUGAAAAUCUAGAGUUCUGAAUAAUUAUUAUCCAAUACCUCUGAACAGGUAGCAUCAACAAUAACAAGAAAAAAAAACUACCUAUUAGUGUUAAUAAAUGCAAAGGAUGAAAUUAAAAAGCAUGCAUAGAAAAACAAUGCAACCAACUUUUAUCUGACCCUGCAUUUGAAAUUAGAGCCUAAGCAACAUUAAAAACAAUAUGCAGUGUCUAGAGGAGUAUAUUCUUUCUGACCCAUUACCAGUUAUAUAGACACAUAAAUGUGUGUUGGUCAAAUAUUUCCUGUUAAUUCUAUUUUUAAAAAAUCUUAUGUGUUUUAAUACAAAUUUUGAUUCUGUUAAAUUGGCAUAUAUCUAAAGGUAUAAAAAUCUUUGACUAAUACUUUUUAAUUUAGCUUUAAAUUAAAAUUUUAUAUUUUAUUUUCUGUUGGUGAUACAUGACCAUUAAUAAUGAUAUAAUUAAUCUUUUUAGAUUCAGACAAACAAGAUAGUGCCUACAAGGCCUGCAAACAAAGACAAUCUAAGGAAUCUUUUUUAAAAACCUGAAAUAGAUAUUUUAUUCUUAAUCUCAGAAGGAAAAACCAAAGCAACCUCACAGCUUAGAAUGUUUUUAAAGUAAUAAAUAAUUCAGUGGUGUCUUGCUUUGGGUCUGUAAUAAUACAAAAGACAGAACUAAUAGGGCCAUUUUCUGUUAUGGACUAUGCAUAAGUGUUGUUGGUUAGUGUUUUUAUUACAAUAUUUUUAUAGAGCUCUAGGUGGAAGAAAUUAGCCACGGUAUAUCUAUUCAAAGCAAACAAAUUCAUGCAUCUGAAAUAAUUCCAUGUAGUGAGGAAAGAGACUACAAAAUAUCAAAUCCAAUACUUAUUAUCAUUCCCCACCCUCAUCUAUUUAACAAUGGAAGCUCAGAAAUAAGGAGAAAGAAUGGAAGUUCUACAAAGGAAGGACUUUUUGCCUGUUUUGUUUGUUUAGCUAUCCAACUGCAAAGAAAAAUGAUGCUCAAUGAGUGAGUAAGUCCGUCCCUGGGCUGGGCGUAGUAGCUCACACUUGUAAUCUGAGCACUUUGGGAGGCCAAAGUGGGGAGAUCACGUGAGGUGAGGAGUUCGAGACCAGCCUGGAAAACAUGGGGAAACCUUGUCUCUACUAAAAAUACAAAAAUUAGCUCGGCCUUGUGGUGCACACCUGUAAUCCCAGCUACUCAGGAGGCUGAGGCAUGAGAAUCACUUGAACCCAGGAGGCAGAGGUUACAGUGAGCUGGAAUCAGACCACUGCACUCCAGACUAGGUGACAGAGCAAGAUUCUGCCUCAAAAAAAAAAAUUUUUCAAAAAAAGAAGUUUGUCCUUUUUAUUGCAUAUUAUAAUGAAAAUUAUUGUAAUUUUUCAAACAUUUUAUUUUAAAAAGUGCAAACUUAUGGCAAAGUUACAAAAAUUGUACAAGGAAUACCCACAUAUACUUUACUUUAAUUCAAUGAUUUUUAACAUUUUCCCACAUUUGCUGUAUCUUCAUUAUUAAAUGUAUGAACUUCCCAUCUCUUAAGCAGGAUAUCCUCCUGCACAAAUACAAUAUAGUGAUCUCAUUUAGAAAACUUAACUUUUAUACAGCACUUUAUGUAAUAUGCAAUUCAUAUUCAAAUUUUCCAAAUUCUUCCUCAAAUUAAAUUUAUGAUGUUUAAUUUUCCUAAUCCAGAACACAAUCAAGAAUCACAGCUGACAUUUAGUUUGCAUGUCUAUUAGUCUCCUUUAAUCCAGAAAAUUUCCCUAGACAUUAAUUAAUUUUUUAUUUAUUUGUCUUAUCAUUACAUUGCUAUUUUCAAAGAAUCCAUCUCAGAGGCUUUGCAAAAUGCCUCUCAGUUAAGAGUUGUUUUCUUCUUCAUGAUUAAGUUCAGGUCAAAUACCUACAAUAGGAAUAAUGCAUAGGUGAUAUUGUAUCCUUCACAGUGCGUGUACAUAUCAGGAAGCAUGUGAUCUCAGGUUCUCCUAUAUUUGGUGACAGUAAUUUUGAUCUCCUGAUUAAGGAGAUGUCUGCAAAAUUUCUACUUUGUAAAUGUAUCUUUUUCUUUUUGUAACUAACUAGUAAUCUGUAGAGGCAAUUAUUUUAGGUUAGAGUAUUUUGUUCCCAAUCUUUCACACAAUGUUAUUAGCAUAAAUCAAUGAAUCCUGUCUGAAAUAAUUACUUUUAUGGUGUUUCAAGAUGAUGACUUUUCAGUUUCUAGCAUUCUUUCUAUAUUUAUUUGUUGGCACUCAUGUGUAUAAAAGAAAUUCAUCUUCUGAUGUUCCUAAUUUUUAAAUGUUUUUAAAUGUAUUUGUGGACUCAUGGAUUAUUUCAAUAUUUUAUGCAUUAUAACCUAUGCUGUGGUUACUCAUUUAAGAAAUUCUUCAAAUUGGCACC